GCUGCGGGGACGUCCCGGGCCCAUGCACCCCGCCCCCGCCGCCGCGGCUGGGAGCCCGGCUGCUCCGGCUUCUCCAGAUCUCAGCAAGUUCAGGGGGCCAGUCUCCGCGGCCAGGCUCUCGGCGUCGAUAAAGAUUGGAGGGUCCUGGCCACCACAAAGACGACAGGCGGGAGUCGCCGGCGUGUGCUUGGAACCGCCGCGUGCGGCGCGCGGGCUCAGUGGCCAUGUGGCCGCAGCGCUGAGUCUGGAGUAAGAGGCUCCGGAGCAGAGAAACGCCGCCGGACAGAGAGGCACCCAGGGGCUCCGUCCCAGGUUUGCUUCUCAUCGGGAGGAGUGGUUUUGACCAAAUGAUUCCUCCCCUUCAUCCAACAAUAAGAGCAGGGAAUUUGCUGCGUGCCACGAACAAUGCUAAGGUCUUCAUGUGCCGGGUCUCAGGCUCCAGUAUGGCUCAGCAUGGCGCUGCUCUGGGGUCUGGACAAAGAACCUGAAGAGAAUAGAAGAGGGAACAAGAAAAAGGAGGAGGGUUAGAAGAGUGAGAGGGACCUUCGAGGAGCCUGAAUGCACUCCUUUAUAUCUGACACUACCAGGAAAAGACAGACCUGAGCGUGUGCCUUGAUUGAAGUGCGUUCCUCCAGACUGCAGUAAGAUGGGACAGCAUUCUAGUGUCCUAACAAGGGGUGAGCUCAGACUUUGAAAGGAUAUUGGCUCUGCUUAUUAAUUAUCAGCUUUCCAGGUGACUUGGUGGUAAAGACUCUGCCUGCCAAUG